ensembl:lncRNA
CCGGCGUUACGUAGCCAGCGGGCCGCGGGGCCAGCGGUGCUUCCUGCCAAAUAACGAGCCCUUUUGUCUUCAUGUAGCGUCGCUUUGUGUCUGCUGGGAACAAGGGGUGGCAUUAAGACCGGGCCGCCGCGGCCUGGAGGUCCCAUCGUCCGGCGCAGCCGUCCGUGUCUGGAACGACUUAGCAUCUGUGUUAGCAUCUGUGUUAGCGGCGGGGAACGUCAGCUGGGACAAGUGGGUGAGGUUCUUCACUGAGUGGCGCGGCGGCGCUUAGCAUCUUGACGAGAGGGUCCUAGAGGCUGAGGAGGACUUCAUGAAGGACGGACAAAGAUGGCUCUCUUCCUUUGUCUGUUGUUCGGCCACCAGGCACUGGGAGACUGGGCAGGCCAGUGGGGCUGUACUGGUGUUAGUGGUUAACUAGUAAAAGCGAGGUGCACUUGGCUAUACUGGUGUCAGUGGUUAACCAGUACAGCGAGGUGUGCUGGGUUAUACUGGUGUCAGUGGUUUACCAGUAAAGCGAGGUGCACUGGGCUAUACUGGUGUCAGUGGUUAACCAGUACAGCGAGGUGCACUGGGCUAUACUGGUGUCAGUGGUUAACCAGUAGAGCGAGGCCUGCUGGGCUAUACUGGUGUCAGUGGUUAACCAGUAAAGCGAGGUGCACUGGGCUAUACUCGUGUCAGUGGUUAACCAGUACAGCGAGGCGUGCUGGGCUGUACUGGUGUAAGUGGUGGGUGGCCACAUGGCCUCCACUGUAGAGGAAUCCAUAAAGGGAGGAUGUCUUUGUAUUGACUGCGAGGAUGGAGUCUUCUGGUUCCUCCCCUGCUUAUUAUAGAAUGUAGAAUGUCCCUCUCCCCCUAUAGGGUAGAGUCUGUCGGGGGGGGCUUUAGGGGCUGAAGUCCCCCCCCCCCCCACGGAGGAGACAGAUGGAGGCGUUGUGUGGAAAAUCAGAUCAAGGGAACCAGAACCGUACGCUGGGCCAAAUAGUCCACAGGUGGACGUGUGUGAGCAAGAGGAUUAGAGCGUAUGUGUCAGUGUUAGUGUGUGUGUGUGUGUGUGUGUGUGUGUGUGUGUGUGUAGAUGUCAGUUUAUGUGUGUGUGGGUGUGUUUGGGCUCUGUGUGUUUGUGUUGUGAGGAUGUCAGUGUGUCUGUGUGUGUGUAUCCUUGAGUGAGUGAGUGUAUGUGUGUGUAUGUGUGUGUGUUUGAGGAUGUCAGUGUGUGUCUGUUUUCGUCCUGUCCUCAGUAUUCUCCACCUGCUGUCCAUGAUGCUUUAAGAAUAGAAACCUCCAGUCGAUUCGCUGUGUUUAGGAUGAUGAAGGGGUGAGGGUGAUGAAGGGGUGAGGGUGAUGAGGUGGUGAGGGUGAUGAGGUGGUGAGGGUGAUGAGGUGGUGAGGGUGAUGAAGGGGUGAGGGUGAUGAGGGGGUGAGGGUGAUGAAGGGGUGAGGGUGAUGAGGUGGUGAGGGUGAUGAAGGGG